UACGUAGGGGGCUAGCGUUGUCCGGAAUCAUUGGGCGUAAAGAGCGCGUAGGCGGCUGGAUUAGUCCGGUGUGAAAUCCACAGGCUUAACCUGUGAAUGCCGCUGGAAACUGUCUGGCUAGAGUCCGGAAGGGGCGAGUGGAAUUCCUGGUGUAGCGGUGAAAUGCGCAGAUAUCAGGAGGAACACCAAUGGCGAAGGCAGCUCGCUGGGACGGUACUGACGCUGAGGAGCGAAAGCGUGGGGAGCAAACAGG
rnacentral:rRNA from 1 species